AGUAAACGGCGGCCGUAACUAUAACGGUCCUAAGGUAGCGAAAUUCCUUGUCGGGUAAGUUCCGACCCGCACGAAAGGCGUAAUGAUUUGAGCGCUGUCUCGACAAUGCAUCCGGUGAAAUUGAAGUACCAGUGAAGAUGCUGGUUACCUGCGCCAGGACGGAAAGACCCCAUGGAGCUUUACUCCAGCUUGAUACUGGGAUUCGGUAUUGCAUGUACAGGAUAGGUGGGAGGCUAGGAAAUGGUAACGCCAGUUGCCAUGGAGCCGCUGUUGGGAUACCACCCUUGCAGUAUUGGGUUUCUAACCAGCCGCCGUGACCCGGCGGUGGGACAAUGCCAGACGGGGAGUUUGACUGGGGCGGUCGCCUCCGAAAGGGUAUCGGAGGCGCUCAAAGGUUCCCUCAGAAUGGUUGGAAACCAUUCGAAGAGUGCAAAGGCAGAAGGGAGCUUGACUGCGACACCGACGGGUGGAGCAGGUACGAAAGUAGGGCUUAGUGAUCCGGUGGUAUUAAGUGGGAAUGCCAUCGCUCAACGGAUAAAAGCUACCCUGGGGAUAACAGGCUUAUCACUCCCAAGAGUUCACAUCGACGGAGUGGUUUGGCACCUCGAUGUCGGCUCAUCGCAUCCUGGGGCUGUAGUAGGUCCCAAGGGUUGGGCUGUUCGCCCAUUAAAGCGGUACGCGAGCUGGGUUCAGAACGUCGUGAGACAGUUCGGUCCCUAUCCGGCGUGGGCGUAGGAUAUCUGAGAGGAGCUGUCCUUAGUACGAGAGGACCGGGAUGGACGGGCCGCUGGUGCAUCGGUUAGACUGCCAAGUCUACGGCCGAGUAGCCAAGCCCGGAAGGGAUAAACGCUGAAGGCAUCUAAGCGUGAAGCCCCCCUCAAGAUGAGAUAUCCCUACGUAAGUAGUAAGACCCCUUGAAGACGACGAGGUAGAUAGGGCAGAGGUGGAAGUGUGGUAACACAUGGAGCUGACUGUUACUAAUCGGGUGAGGGCUUGACCAA
rnacentral:rRNA from 1 species